UUUAUCAUUUUCAACCAUAACUUUUGUGAUUAACCCAUGAAUUAGUGACGAAAAUUGCAUUUUUGUGUUGCAAAGGACUACUUUUUGCUUGUUCUAGGUGUUCUGCACCCGAAAUCGACAUCGUCGCAGAACCAUUCUUGCAUCAGAUUAGAUAUUGCAUCUGGGUUUGACAUGGUAGAAUGACCAUUCCUGCAUCAGAAUGGAUAUUGCACCUGAGUCCGACAUCGUAGGAUGACCUUUCUUGCAUCAGAUUGU